CCAGGAUCCAAUGGCAUUGAGUAUCCAUUGAUCAGGAUGGCCACAGAGGUCAAUGUAGCGUCCGAGCCAUUACAUCAGGAGGAACCAAUAAUCCUCUAGAAUUGGUAAUGGACGCAUUUUCACAAUUUGGUUUUCAAUUUCACUAGAUUAAAUUUAAAACUUGAUUAUGUUGGAAUGGAGCUCAGUGGAAGGAGAAGUCGUUUUGUAAGAAUGAGCUCACGGCAAGACCCCAAAUAGAGGUCAUGUCCACUGCCCAAAACACGUCCAGUGUUUCACCUCAUCAUCGCAAACCACAACCCAACAAAUCAAAAUUUGCAAACUUUAAACCAAACCAAAACUACUGUAAAAAAUUUUAGGAAAAAUAAUUAAAAUUUGAGCCUCAGUGUAUGUAACAAUCAGAUCAUUCACCCUAAUUAAGGGCUCACUGAAAUCCGCUAAGAUAAUUAAAAAUUAUCAUCAUAAGCUCAAUGUAGAGCCAUACAAACCCUUACAAACAAAAUCAAUUUUACAGCUUAAAAAAGCCAAUAAAUUUGAGAAAAAAUUUAUGGGAUCUGCCAGAAAGUCAAAAAGGUAAGAUGGGUUACUUCGGAAAAAAGCACUUUCCAAAACCACAGAUUGGAAGAUUAGAGAACAGAUGAAGAGUGCUCAGACAGCCAAGGGUUUGUAAUCAAACUUUUGGGAGAAGAACCCAGAUCAUAAACUCUAGUCCACAAAUAGCCUCAUCACCGCACACUUCUGAUUUAACAGAAAACACAAAUGAGCUGCAAAAACAAUUGAAUUUGAUUGAAAAACCCUAGAUUUGGGAUCUAAGAAAACUUCUUCGGGAAAGGAUUAGGGUUUGGGAGGCGUAGAGAAAAUGGGAUGAGAAGCGUGUGAGAGUUGGGUGGUG
rnacentral:lncRNA from 1 species